ACAGAAUCAAUCCGUACAUUGCCACCCUGUGGAUCUUUCGGCGGAUGUGGAUCAAACGGCAUGAGAAAAUGCAAAAAAAAAAAAUAAAAAACGGCAAGUGAACCAGAAAUUGUACUGUGCCUGUAUCACCGGUGUUGGAUUCUGGAAACGCUCCGACGGACCCAAGAAACUAUAAGUCGAUUUCUUCUCACGGCAUUUACUGUCAUUUUCGGAUAAUCAACGAUAGGUUGCAAAACAAACUGUUCCCAAAGUUCAGCUGAACUUAUAAACCGAUACCGAUACGAUUCAGAACAGCAUUUCCAGCUACUCAUCGUGCCACUACCGAAGGAAGCUGCUUCGGUGCUUGAUUUCCAACAUUCAAUCGGCGGCUUCAUAUUCAUUCAUUCAACACUUCGCGUAUACUGCAUUCCCAUACAAACAUCUAAACUUCAUACUGCAAGCUUGACGGAAGAGUCUUUUAAUUCUGGUCAUCUCAUCGGAACUUUUUUAAAAGAUCCUCGAUUCCCCCUGGGCCCCCUCUAGGUUAGGCAACAUGUUGAUGUGGUCCG